GACGAACGCUGGCGGCGUGCUUAACACAUGCAAGUCGUACGGUAAGGCCCUUUCGGGGGUACACGAGUGGCGGACGGGUGAGUAACACGUGCGUAACCUUCCCACAACUUUGGGAUAACGCUAGGAAACUGGUGCUAAUACUGGAUAUGUGCUCCUGCUGCAUGGUGAGGGUUGGAAAGCUCCGGCGGUUGUGGAUGGACUCGCGGCCUAGCAGCUUGUUGGUGGGGUAGUGGACUACCAAGGCGGCGACGGGUAGCCGGACUGCGUGGGUGACCGGCGACAUUGGGACUGAGAGACGGCCCAGACUCCGACGGGAGGCAGCAGUGGGGAAUAUUGCACAAUGGGCGCAGGCCUGAUGCAGAAACGCCGCGGGCGGGAUGACGGCCUUAGGGUUGAAAACCGCUUUCAGCAGGGACGGAGCUUUUUGUGACGGUACCUGCAGAAGAAGCACCGGCUAACUACGUG
rnacentral:rRNA from 1 species